GGAAGUAAAGGUCGUAACAAGGUUUCCGUAGGCGAACCUGCGGAAGGAUCAUUAUUGUAUAACCAAGGUGCGAGGGCUGUCGCUGACCCGAAAGGUCGUGCACGCCCGAGUGCCCUCACACACAUCCAUCUCACCCCUAUGUGCACCACCGCGUGGGUCCCCCUUUGGCUUGUUCGGAGGGGGGCUUACGUUUUCACACAAACUUUGUAUGCAGUGUAGAAUGUAUUUUUUGUUUUUGCGAUCACGCAAUCAAUACAACUUUCAACAACGGAUCUCUUGGCUCUC
rnacentral:misc_RNA from 1 species